AAGAAAGCAUAGAUAUCUCUUAGAAACCUCCAGAGCUUUACUUUUUCAUUCCCAACCACCCCUUAGAUUCUGGGGAGAUUGUGUGCUUACUGCUACCUAUCUCAUAAAUAGAUUUCCUUCCAAACUCCUUAACAAUAUAUCACCUUUUGAGUUGCUUUUUGGACAAAUUCCUUCUUAUAACCAUUUUAAAACAUUUGGUUGUCUUUGUUUUGCUCCUUAACAAUAUAUCACCUUUUGAGUUGCUUUUUGGACAAAUUCCUUCUUAUAACUAUCUUAAAACAUUUGGUUGUAUUUGUUUUGCUUCAGUCCCAAAACAGAAUAGGGAUAAGUUUCAGCCCAGAGCUGAUCCUUCUGUUUUUCUGGGAUAUCCAUUGGGUAAAAAGGGAUACAAGCUGUACAACUUGAAGACUAAGCUUACAAUAGUCUCGGAUGCGGUCUUUCAUGAAUAUGUAUUUCCCUUUGCUCCUUCAGGGAGUACCUUUCCUGUUCCUUCUCCUACUCUUAAUCCAUCUCCUGUUUGGCUUCCUUCUACUGAUGACUCCUUGCUCAAUCCUCCCUCACCUUCCUCCACAUCUGCACCCCUUGCUUCUCCUUCUUCAUCCCCUUCUUCCCUGCACCAUUCUCCUCCUGUGCCCACUGAACCUGCUCCUAGAAGGUCCAGCAGGACUCAUGUUCCUCCUGCUCAUCUCCAACAGUAUGUUUGCACUCUCCCUCCAUCUCUUUCUGGCCCCAGUACUUCUUCCACUUGCCUUCACAGUUUGGUUAACAGUGCA
rnacentral:lncRNA from 1 species